GACGAACGCUGGCGGCGUGCUUAACACAUGCAAGUCGAACGGAAAGGCCCCUUUGGGGGUACUCGAGUGGCGAACGGGUGAGUAACACGUGAGUAACCUGCCCUUGACUUCGGGAUAACUUCAGGAAACUGGGGCUAAUACCGGAUAGGAAUCCUUGCUGCAUGGUGGGGUUGGGAAGGUUCGGCGGUUUUGGAUGGACUCGCGGCUUAUCAGCUUGUUGGUGGGGUAGUGGCUUACCAAGGCUUUGACGGGUAGCCGGCCUGAGAGGGCGACCGGCCACAUUGGGACUGAGAUACGGCCCAGACUCCUACGGGAGGCAGCAGUGGGGAAUAUUGCACAAUGGGCGGAAGCCUGAUGCAGCAACGCCGCGUGCGGGAUGACGGCCUUCGGGUUGUAAACCGCUUUCAGCAGGGGCGAAGCUUGUGGUGACGGUACCUGCAGAAGAAGCACCGGCUAACUACGUG
rnacentral:rRNA from 1 species